rnacentral:rRNA from 1 species
UAGGGAAUCUUCGGCAAUGGACGAAAGUCUGACCGAGCAACGCCGCGCGAGUGAAGAAGGUUUUCGGAUCGUAAAACUCUGUUGGUAGAGAAGAACGUUGGUGAGAGUGGAAAGCUCAUCAAGUGACGGUAACUACCCAGAAAGGGACGGCUAACUACGUGCCAC